GCAUUUGUUUUCUGAGACUCAGGAUGUAAUGCUGUUGGUGUUAUUCUAGCACCAACAAUAACCACGUGAGACAGUUCUAUUCCCAUUUUGCAGAGAAGACUGGCUUUACAGAAUUAAAUCCUCUACCUAUGGGUCAUGGGACAAGCAAAUAACAGUAUCAGGAUCUGGAGAUGACUUUGAACUCCAAGUCCAACAUUGUCCACUCCACCACAGGCGCCACCUCAGAUUCUCCCCAAGUCCCCAUGGAUAUGGAGUUCAAGCAAUUCUCCUGCCUCAGCCUCCCAAGAAGAGAGUUCUUGAUCAUGAUCCUAGCUAUGCCUCCAAAUGUCAGCUACUGAAGAACUGUUGAGCAUCCUCCACACACCAGACUCUCUGAGGCACAGAAACUACAGAAGAUAACAAAAUACCUAUCUUUAGGUCACUUCAUUGCACCUUACUUCAGCAUCCCCAGUUUAAAAUAAAAGUCAUGCUUCUUGCUGAAUUGAA